UACGAAGGGGGCUAGCGUUGUUCGGAUUAACUGGGCGUAAAGCGCGCGUAGGCGGGUUUUUAAGUCAGGGGUGAAAUCCCAAGGCUCAACCUUGGAACUGCCUUUGAUACUGGAAAUCUUGAGUCCGGGAGAGGUGAGUGGAACUGCGAGUGUAGAGGUGAGAUUCGUAGAUAUUCGCAAGAACACCAGUGGCGAAGGCGGCUCACUGGCCCGGUACUGACGCUGAGGUGCGAAAGCGUGGGGAGCAAACAGG
rnacentral:rRNA from 1 species